rnacentral:rRNA from 1 species
GUGCACCAGGCGAGAAUCCUCCGCAAUGCUCGAAAGAGCGACGGGGACUCCAAGUGCCUACGCUCAGCGUAGGCUGUUCCCGAGCCUAAAAGCUCGGGGAGUAAGGGCUGGGUAAGACGGGUGCCAGCCGCCGCGGUAAUACCCGCAGGCCCGAGUGGUGGCCGCUAUUAUUGGGCCUAAAGCGUCCGUAGCCGGCUCGGUAAAUGCCUGGGUAAAUCGUCUGGCCCAACCAGACGAAUUCCGGGUAGACUGCCGGGCUAGGGACCGGAGGAGGGAGAGGGUACUCCGAGGGGUAGGGUGAAAUCAGCAAGGUGAGUUGCUGAUGUAACUUGCCUUGCAAGUCACAAUCCUGUAAU